GACGUAGGGCGCGAGCGUUGUCCGGAUUUAUUGGGCGUAAAGAGCUCGUAGGCGGUCUGUCGCGUCUGCUGUGAAAACUCGGGGCUUAACCCCGGGCCUGCAGUGGGUACGGGCAGACUAGAGUGCGGUAGGGGAGACUGGAAUUCCUGGUGUAGCGGUGAAAUGCGCAGAUAUCAGGAGGAACACCAGUGGCGAAGGCGGCUCACUGGCCCAUUACUGACGCUGAGGCACGAAAGCGUGGGGAGCAAACAGG
rnacentral:rRNA from 1 species